UACGUAGGGACCAAGCGUUGUUCGGAUUUACUGGGCGUAAAGGGCGCGUAGGCGGCGUGACAAGUCACUUGUGAAAUCUCUGAGCUUAACUCAGAACGGCCAAGUGAAACUGUUGUGCUAGAGUGCAGAAGGGGCAAUCGGAAUUCUUGGUGUAGCGGUGAAAUGCGUAGAUAUCAGGAGGAACACCGAUGGCGAAGGCAGGUCUCUGGGCCGAUACUGACGCUGAGGAGCGAAAGCGUGGGGAGCGAACAGG
rnacentral:rRNA from 1 species